AUGACCGAGAGAAGGGUGGUCGAGGGAGCUAAUGCCUCGCUCACAUGUAUGAGUAACAGCAACCCUCCACCCAGUGCUUAUCAGUGGAUUAUCACCCAAAAGAGUUCCACCACAAAACACAACGGCCAAAGUUUUUCACUUCAAGACGUCAGACGAGACACGUCCGUCGUCUGCACUGCUCAGAACUCUUUUGGACGUGGACAAUCGGAUCCAUUAGUGCUGAACGUCCAUUUUCCUCCCACCAUCCUGCUGGACUCGGGCUGUUGGGACCGGGCUGGAGGUAUGAGGUGUGUGUGCCGGGCAGAGGCUGAUCCCAGACCCAGCAUCUCCUGGAUGGUUAAUGGAAGCAUUGAUCUGUUCCCACAAUUUCAUACAUCAGCUAACUACACCGAACGGGUGACGGUGUCAGAAUUAACGGGACCCCUGACCCACAAUGUCUCCUGUGUGGCGUCCAACUACCUGGGCAAGAACAGUUACCAGAUACCUACACACCAGCCACUGUCAGGAGGAAUUACAGUAGCUAUUGUGGCAGCGGUGGUGAUUGUCAUCAUUGUUAUUGCUGUGAUUAUCAUCUACUGGAGAAAGAGAUCCCAUAAAAAGACGAGUGGAAACAGCACUAAACAGCUGAAGACUGAUGAUCUGGAUCUUAAUGCGUGUUCAUUUGUGAACGAGACGGUGGAGGUGGAUCUCUACGUUAACACUCCACAGACAAAAAAGGGAUGACGGGUGCAAUGCAUACGAGACCAUGUGAAGCCUUUCUGAUACUGUGAUGGCCACACCUCCUUCAAGACAAGCUUCAUAAAUCUCCGAUCCUCGAUAUUCUGCCUUCAUUGGAGUCUUCAAAGUGUUUAAAGGACGUUUUGUCAUCUGAACAACUGGUUUAAAGUCUGAAUUAAGUUUCAUUGUGAACAUUUGGUCCGUUUAGUUUCGGUUUCACACUGCAGUUCAGUAAAGCAGCACUCUAAAAGACUUUGUUAUGACUUGUCAUCAUCACCUACGUGGGCGGAGUCUCCCUAUACUCAACACUGAUUGGUUUGUACGAUAUUGUCAGUUUGGCGAGUUUCAUUUCCUGAUGUUGUGCCGAAUUCUGCAGCCCUGCCAUAAUUGUAUUAACCUACAGUUACAGUAGAUACAGAAUCACCAGCACCGUAAUCUGUUGU
rnacentral:lncRNA from 1 species